AUAUCAAUAAGCGGAGGAAAAGAAACUAACAAGGAUUCCCCUAGUAACGGCGAGUGAAGCGGGAAUAGCUCAAAUUUGAAAUCUCACUGUUUUACAGUGCGAAUUGUAGUUUAGAGAAACGUUUUCGGGGUCGAUCAUUAGUACAAGUUCUUUGGAACGAGACAUCAUAGAGGGUGAAAAUCCCGUCUUUGACUAAUGAUUUGAUUCUAUGUGAUACGUUUUCCAAGAGUCGGUUUGUUUGGGAAUGCAGACCAAAAUGGGUGGUAAAUACCAUCUAAAGCUAAAUAUUGGCGAGAGACCGAUAGCGAACAAGUACCGUGAGGGAAAGAUGAAAAGAACUUUGAAAAGAGAGUUAAACAGUACGUGAAAUUGUCAAAAGGGAAACGCUUGAAACCAGUAUUGUUUAUAAUAAUUCAGCUAUUCUUUGAAUGGUGUAUUUUAUUAUCGACGAGUCAACAUCAGUUUUAUUUGAGGUAAAAAGCUAUGGGAAGGUGAUCACUUUCGGGUGGUUUUAUAGACUAUAGUAAUGCCUUGGAUGAGACUGAGGUCUGCAGCAUUAUUUGGCCAUUUGGCACACCAAUGCUUAGGAUGUUGACGAAAUGGUUUUAAACGA
rnacentral:rRNA from 1 species